GAUGAACGCUGGCGGCGUGCCUAAUACAUGCAAGUCGAGCGAACAGAUGAGGAGCUUGCUCCUCUGACGUUAGCGGCGGACGGGUGAGUAACACGUGGAUAACCUACCUAUAAGACUGGGAUAACUUCGGGAAACCGGAGCUAAUCCCGGAUAAUAUAUUGAACCGCAUGGUUCAAUAGUGAAAGACGGUUUUGCUGUCACUUAUAGAUGGAUCCGCGCCGCAUUAGCUAGUUGGUAAGGUAACGGCUUACCAAGGCAACGAUGCGUAGCCGACCUGAGAGGGUGGUCGGCCACACUGGAACUGGGACACGGUCCAGACUCCUACGGGAGGCAGCAGUAGGGAAUCGUCCGCAAUGGGCGAAAGCCUUACGGAGCAGCGCCGAGUGAGUGAUGAAGGUCUUCGGAUCGUAAAACUCUGUUAUUAGGGAAGAACAAAUGUGUAAGUAACUAUGCACGUCUUGACGGUACCGAAUCAGAAAGCCACGGCUAACUACGUG
rnacentral:rRNA from 1 species